UUCGUCCAGCGCUUCCAGCCCUUCUUCUGCGGCCCAUCGACAAGUCUACGGAAGCCCCAAUCAAAAGCUCUCCUUCGUGUUCUUCGUUUGACUUCGAUCGGCGCCGAGACUGUCUAGAUUCUGUAACGGUGUAUGUGGUUUAACGUUGUGGGAGACGAGUAUUCUCUUCUUAUCUCUCUUCCAGAUUGUUGAUCUCAAUCUAUAAAAAGGCUUGCUGCUGUUCUUCAACCGUCAAGGUCUCUGAUUUUGGGUAGCGAGCGCGGUGGAGAGCUGAAGGGUGUGGCCAUACACCUGCUAAGAUUGAUUCGUGGAUUUUGAUUUGUGCGUAAUCGACUAUGAUAUACAUCGACAACUUUGAGUGGAUGAGUAAUAGAGAUUAUAGGCUCAAACCGAAGCUGUCAAUCUUCUCUGCGGUGCCAAAAUCCAGUCAAAUCUAGAGAACACUGUGGAGAUCUUGACAGUGGCAGAGUUGCGGAUCUCUGUUUAGAUCGGCAGUUGAUUUCCCGACAACUGAGUUGGCGCUAGCAAAGAAACAACACAGCAGAACGAUGAAUGUGUCUUCGUCUUCUUAGAACUUUCGCAUUGGAUCUUUGACUAAAAAACUCUUGAUUUAGGUGAUUUGUGGUGUUGGACUUGAGGAUCUAAAGAGCAUAAACAUUAUAUCUAAAUCAAAAGAGGAGCUUGGCUAAGUGUUAAUACACGCCUUUCCUCUUCCUGGGCUUGGAAACUGAUUGGUUGAUGAGGAGAAGGAAGCCAUUCUUAGAGAUGUUUAGCACCAGUCACUUGCAAAACUGUAACACCAAGAAUCAACACCAAAGGAUUAUUGUUUUCACUGGAAGUCGAGUUGCUUUCUCAACAAUUGCUGGUAGUCCUUCAGCAUCUGGUUUAGGAAGGUCAAGCAGAAGACCAUCAGAUUCCAGUUGUUUAAGAAUGGUGAAUCAAGCUUGCUAAAUCAAAGGUUGUAUGAAAAAGCUCAAGGAAACGGAUCUUUUAAAUUUUGAAACUGUUAGAACCUGUUGUACCUUGCGGUCUCACCUGUUAGAAAGACGAUUAUAACUGGGGGAGGAGAUGCGACCUUAAGGUUCUGGAAUGUCUUACCAUCCCUGAAGUCUCAGUAUCAGGUGGGGAUCUGUGCUGAGCGUGGUCUGCUGGGUGUGACUACAUGUGCAACUAUGCUUGAAGAAAGAGUCAGAUCCAAUGCAAACCACCAAAACCAGGAUUCACUUCAACUGGUUGAAGGAACGUCUUGAUACUUGAAUUCCAUUUCAUCUUUUCGUAAGACCAAGGAGUUUGUUUAUAUCGUCACGUAAAAGGCUUAGGCUUUGCUUUGCUUAGGUUUCACAAUCGAGGUUUACAGUUAUCUUUUCUUUUUACUGAAUGUUUACAGUUAUCUUCUAUUUUUUUUCUGAACUACUGUCUAAAGUUAUCUUAAAGCAAUAAUAUUUAUUGUUUUUUUAAGUACACGACUAACCAUCUCUAUUACCCUUCUUUAAGUGGUACACCAGUUUCGAUAGGAAAGGUACUGACCAUUUACAAGUUUUGAUUUGCGUUUACCAGUUGCCACAUGCAUGAAAAACUGUGACAUGACUAGGAGAUCCUCAGAGUUAAUCAGUAAUCACGAACCUGUAAAUAUAAGUUUCCUGUCAUACAUUUAGGGUUAUGUUUUGGAGAGAGAUACGGCCUUCUUUGGUUUAGUUUAACAUAUAGUCCGCUUCAAAUUUCGGUGGUGUCAAUCACGGACCCGUUUCUUUUGGAUUCAAAGUUGCAUGCAUUUGUGUCUAAUGAUAUAUCAUGGUUAGUCACAGACGUAUUUCUUAGAUUCAUCGUUUGUUAAUGAAG